rnacentral:snoRNA from 1 species
GUUUUAUGAUGAGAAUCUUUGGUCCGUGUUAAUGAGGCGGCUUAAGACCCCGCUAUCUGAAUACAAAACCAAGCGCUUGUCGCAGCUCUGAUAUA